rnacentral:rRNA from 1 species
GACGAACGCUGGCGGCGUGCUUAACACAUGCAAGUCGAACGGAAAGGCCCCCUUGUGGGGUACUCGAGUGGCGAACGGGUGAGUAACACGUGAGUAACCUACCCUUGACUUUGGGAUAACUUCAGGAAACUGGGGCUAAUACCGGAUAGGAGCUCCUGCUGCAUGGUGGGGGUUGGAAAGUUUCGGCGGUUGGGGAUGGACUCGCGGCUUAUCAGCUUGUUGGUGGGGUAGUGGCUCACCAAGGCUUUGACGGGUAGCCGGCCUGAGAGGGUGACCGGCCACUUUGGGACUGAGAUACGGCCCAGACUCCUACGGGAGGCAGCAGUGGGGAAUAUUGCACAAUGGGCGGAAGCCUGAUGCAGCAACGCCGCGUGCGGGAUGACGGCCUUCGGGUUGUAAACCGCUUUCGCCUGUGACGAAGCGUGAGUGACGGUAAUGGGUAAAGAAGCACCGGCUAACUACGUG